GGCUCGCAGGCGGUUUCUUAAGUCUGAUGUGAAAGCCCCCGGCUCAACCGGGGAGGGUCAUUGGAAACUGGGAAACUUGAGUGCACAAGAGGAGAGUGGAAUUCCACGUGUAGCGGUGAAAUGCGUAGAGAUGUGGAGGAACACCAGUGGCGAAGGCGACUCUCUGGUCUGUAACUGACGCUGAGGAGCGAAAGCGUGGGGAGCGAACAGGAUUAGAUACCCUGGUAGUCCACGCCGUAAACGAUGAGUGCUAAGUGUUAGGGGGUUUCCGCCCCUUAGUGCUGCAGCUAACGCAUUAAGCACUCCGCCUGGGGAGUACGGUCGCAAGACUGAAACUCAAAGGAAUUGACGGGGGCCCGCACAAGCGGUGGAGCAUGUGGUUUAAUUCGAAGCAACGCGAAGAACCUUACCAGGUCUUGACAUCCUCUGACAACCCUAGAGAUAGGGCUUUCCCUUCGGGGACAGAGUGACAGGUGGUGCAUGGUUGUCGUCAGCUCGUGUCGUGAGAUGUUGGGUUAAGUCCCGCAACGAGCGCAACCCUUGAUCUUAGUUGCCAGCAUUCAGUUGGGCACUCUAAGGUGACUGCCGGUGACAAACCGGAGGAAGGUGGGGAUGACGUCAAAUCAUCAUGCCCCUUAUGACCUGGGCUACACACGUGCUACAAUGGACA
rnacentral:rRNA from 1 species